rnacentral:lncRNA from 13 species
GUUUGUCUCCUCCCUCAGCCAGGAGCCUCUUCUAUCUUCCCAGAACCAGAAUUUGGGUGGAGGGGCCAGCAAAGGAGCAGUUCUUCCUCGAAAGGAGUCACUUCCCUCAGAACCCAGGGCAGGCGGCUGCAGCAGGUGCUCAUGGGUAACAACAUGGAGGCAGGCAUGCCGCGGGCUCCCAGCAUCAGGGUCAUCGGCAAAGGAGCUGGCCGUGACCCAGCACUGACCACCAAGGUCUGGAGCAGACAUUAUUCUCAACAACACACGAUUUUUUUUUCAAAGGAACUAGGGGUCACAUGGUUGCUGUGUGGAAAACACUGUAGGGGUGAGUGUGGCAGCAGACAGACCUGUGAGAGCCGCUGAUGUGCAGCAAAACAGCUGAUGUCAUCCAAUUUAAUGGCCCCC